AUACGGAGGGUGCAAGCGUUAAUCGGAAUUACUGGGCGUAAAGCGCGCGUCGGCGGUUUGAUAAGUCGGAUGUGAAAUCCCCGGGCUCAACCUGGGAAUUGCAUUCGAUACUGUCAGGCUCGAGUGUGGUAGAGGGAAGUGGAAUUUCCGGUGUAGCGGUGAAAUGCGUAGAUAUCGGAAGGAACAACAGUGGCGAAGGCGGCUUCCUGGACCAACACUGACGCUGAGGUGCGAAAGCGUGGGGAGCAAACAGGAUUAGAAACCCCAGUAGUCC
rnacentral:rRNA from 1 species